ACUACGAUUUGAAAGAGUCGUAUAUAUAGCAAUUUUCUACUUCCUUGCUAAAAAUACAUAUCAGAUCAAGGUGACAAACAAUGUCUCUGUUGUGGAAGUGGAAACAAAAAACAGACCAAAUACCGAAAGGUAAAAACUGAGGCUUGAAGAAUUGUCAACAAUUUACUCCACAGGUAAAAAUUAGCCACAAUUCUUUGUAUAAAAAAACCAAAGUAAGAACAUAUAUAACAAAACGCAAAUUAGUCGAUCUUUAAAUCGGAUACAAAGUUGAAAGAAAAAAAAAUGGUUGUGCAUGCAUGCGACCAACUAAUGUCCUUUGCCUCUUUUGCUGGGUCCGGAAGUUAAUCUAAAAGCCAAGCUUCUUGCUGAAUCAUGAAAACUUGAGUUAUUUGAAGAAACAGAAAACGUUGUCAUUCCAACAGACCCCUCAGUUGUUCCUUCACAACCAUCACCUAUUUGUGCAUUUUGAGCCUCCGGUCGAAGAACUCUACCAUGCACAAGAGAGAACUCGCAAGAUGCCACAACCAUUGUGAUAAACAACACAAUCCAUAAACUCUUCAUCUUCAUAACUUGCUUGUUUUUUCUCAAACCCUUUUUUGUUUCUUUGAGUAUUUGUUAUGAAGUAUAUGUAACUAACAAUAUGUCUAGGUAGCUGUUGC
rnacentral:lncRNA from 1 species